rnacentral:rRNA from 1 species
CGUCGAAGGUGGGAUCGGCGAUUGGGACGAAGUCGUAACAAGGUAGCCGUACCGGAAGGUGCGGCUGGAUCACCUCCUUUCUAAGGAG